UCGGAUUGUAGUCUGCAACCCGACUACAUGAAGCUGGAAUCGCUAGUAAUCGCAGGUCAGCAUACUGCGGUGAAUACGUUCCCGGGGUCUUGUACACACCGCCCGUCACACCAUGGGAGCCGGAUAUGCCCGAAGCCGGUGACCUAACCGCAAGGAAGGAGCCGUCGAAGGUGGAGCCGAUGACUGGGGUGAAGUCGUAACAAGGUAAC
rnacentral:rRNA from 1 species